rnacentral:sRNA from 1 species
UCUUCUCACACUUUCGUCUUUAUAGAUUCUUCCAAAAGAUCUUCGUCACCGUCUCUU